AACGAACGCUGGCGGCAUGCCUAACACAUGCAAGUCGAACGAGCCCUUCGGGUCUAGUGUCGCACGGGUGCGUCACGCGUGGGAACCUGCCCUUAGGUUCGGCAUACCUCCCCGAAAGGGGUGCUAAUACCGGAUCAUGUCUUCUGCCCAAAGAUUUAUCGCCUUUGGAUGGGCCCGCGUUGGAUUAGCUAGUUGGUAGGGUAAAAGCCUACCAAGGCGACGAUCCAUAGCUGGUCUGAGAGGAUGAUCAGCCACACUGGGACUGAGACACGGCCCAGAAUCCUACGGGAGGCAGCAGUGGGGAAUAGUGGAAAAUGGGCGAAAGCAUGAUCCAGUAAGGCCGGGUGAGUGAUGAAGGCCUGAGGGUUGUAAAGCGCUUUUAACCGGGAUGAUAAUGACAGUACCGGGAGAAUAAGCCCCGGCUAACUACGUG
rnacentral:rRNA from 1 species